CCUUUGGUAAAUGUCUGUGACAAUUAUGAUCUUAUUUUGUUUGAUAUUAAUUUUGUGGUGUUUGUACAUUGUUUUAGCCAUUCUUCGAAACAUUCUGGUUAAGCAGGAAAUGAUGAUGGAGCAAGUCAAAGUGAUUUUAAAAACCGUACAAGACCUACAUGAGAAAUGCUGUAGUGACAGUGGUUCAGAUCCAGUGCUGGAAAAAGACAUUCUUCCACUUCAAGAUCUCACAUCCAUGCAACAGCUUGAAAGUGACCUAGCGGUUGGUGGAGAUUUAAAAAAAAAAACUAAUUACAUUGCUUGGGAUUCAAGGAGGCAUUGAUGUGAGAGACACGGUGUGGAGAAUCAUGAGGCAAACUUUCACCAAUUCAUUGGCCAAACAACUUAACUGGAGGGGAAUAAAUGGAAAAACAUGUUUUCAUAGCCUUCACAUUAAGGAUAUUGUGAUUGAUGCAGUACGAAGAAACUCUGUAACAUCAAGAGCCACAACUCAGGAAAUAGAAAUGUGGAUUAAGAGAUGGCUUCAUCUGGCUGCAGAUAGGGAUGGAGGAAGAC